GGAACAGGUUGCAGUCAGCCUAGCUAGCGCUGGCAGGGCACGGGACUUAUCCACGAACCGAACUUCCUCACCAAAGACCAGCUCCCCCCAGUCCCGGCCCGCCUGGCUACAGGGGGCAGAGACGAUGUUUAAAGGUAGGAUCAAGGAACACAGCACAACAGCGCAGCAGCGCAGCAAGGUGGCCAAGAAUCCGAGAGGGACGCGGGGGAGGGGCUCCGAGAGUCCAACGUGGUGAGGCCGGUUUGGCUUACGGAUUCAUUUGACCGGAGGCUAACUAGGCAAGGGUCCAAGGAUGAGUCGCAGUUCCCUUCCGUUCCCCUCCGAGUGAUGCAGAAGAGAUGCGGGCUGCAGCUGGUGGUGCCUGCGGAAUCUCUGCAACAGAUCAAGGACCUGUCCUGGAACGCUGUCCUUGGUACUGGCAGAGAAGGGUACCCAGUGCGGUUCCUCUUUCAAUACCCUGCAUAGUGUCCUGCUAGCUGCUGCUCUAGUGGAGGGUAGGGACCUUGUACACCCCUUACCAGGACCUUGUAGUCACUCUAGGCUCCACUACCAGCAGCAGGGAUACCCAGGGCGAAGAAAGUACCCUCUGCUAAACCCACACUUGACAUCCUGUAGGCACCAUAGAGGAGCUCAGACUCCUGUGGCCUCUGCUUCUCUGGGACCUUCUGUCCUGUCUAUCCUAAGGGACCUUACAAGGCCACCUUCUAGGCUGGACUCUAGCAGAACCCUGUGCCUUACUUCCUGGCAGGCGGCCCAGAUAUUCCAGUCCCUAGACCGUGGGCCUGAGCAAAACUUCCAUCAAAAUCCUAACCAAGGGGUUCUCCCACCCACCAUCACCUUUUACCUUCAAAUAAGGUCCACUGACUUUCUCAAAUCUACUCCAUUCAAAAGGAAAAAAAACAGAACAAAAUGAGUGUCUGAGCUGCGGAGGUAGGAAAGACAAGCUUUGAACCCCAGGGAAAGAAGCUCUGUGUCUAGCAACCUAGUCUUUGCCCACAGGAGACCCCGGGGACAGUUUAUCCCUGUCCCCUCCCAUUGUCUACACUAGCUGGAGCAUACUCUGCUAGGCUGAUCCCCAGCUUUGGCGUCAACACAUAGUUGUAUCCAUGUUUCCCCUAAGUGAGCAAUGGAAGAGGUGAGGGUAACGAGUGAUUGAGGACAUAGCAAAGGUUGGACCAAAGCCCAGAUGCUGGAAUCCAUGGGUGAGUGUGGUGUCACAGGACUGAAAGGCAGUAUCCCUGUGUGAAAUUAACUGACGUCUGAGUGUGAGGCAUGUGUAUGUGUCUGUGUGGGCAAGGCCACAUGAGCACUGGCACAUGCCUAUUGUAUGAGAGCUUUGAGUGCUUUAAGUCCAUGAGUGUGUGAUGGAAAAGGCUCUGUGUGUAAGAAAUCCAAAGAAAUGGUCUCAACACAGGCACUCCUUGCAGGUACCACUACCCUAAGGAACAGCAUGUUGACGUUGGGAUUCAGGAGAGCCCAUUUCAAACCAAAUUACUAUUGGAGUUGUAUCAGCUCCACCUGUUACUGUGAUCUUACUUCACAGAACAGCCUAAUAGGAGGCAGAAGUGAAGGGGGUGACCAGGAAGUCCCAUUGGGCAGUCACCUAGAACUAGUCACAAGUGGCUGUCUCAGGAUUCUGUAAACUUCAUGGGACCAAAGUAGCUGCUUUCCAGGAGACCCAUAAUCCACAGCACAGAAGCCAUACCAAUCAUUCGUUUAACAAAUAUUUUCACAUGCAUUCCCCACAACAGACACUAUUUUAGACAUUGGGUAUUCAAUAAUGAGCCAUAUGGACGAUGACAUAAACGAUGUAUCUUUCGGAACGUAAAUGAGAUUGUGUAGCUUUGCUGCCUCUGCUCUAAAAUCUCUCACUUUUGUGUCGAGACAUCACACCUUUCUUUCCUUCCUGGCCAUGCCUUCCUUCCAGUCUACUUGUUAAACAUGGCAUGGUGGCCUUUUACCCUCCAACGGUGUUUCUGAGGAUGAUGAAGGACCCCUGACUCAUCUCUUUACUCACCAAGCAGAGAUCUAGUACUGAUCCUGUUUCCUUUUUCUACCAUACCCUGAGUUCUGUGUGACUGCUGCAAUUCUUUAGAGGCCCAGGAUAUGCAAGGCAAUAUACAUGGCAGCGAGGGGACCUAGUGGGGCUGAGUCCAGCUUUCCUGCAGGGGCAAGCUGUAUAAAUGCCCAAGAGAGUUCCCUUGGAAACAGGAAUGGCUCUGUCGGGGAGUUCAUGGGAAGUCUCGGAGAAGCAGUCCAGGAAGACUAGGGAAAAUAUUAUGGCAUCAAUAGCUUUGGAAAGUGACUUGGCUUAAGAACAGCAAAGCUGGAGGAAGGCAUGUUCCUUCCUCUUCAUCCCCAACCUGGAUGUUGCAGCUUUUGAGAGCCUUGAGAUCUAUGGGUUUCUAUACUGGCUUCAUAUUCUCUACUCCCCUACUUUGAAACUUGCCAGGUGGAUACAGUUUUAAAGAUUAAAUCAUGUAAGUGGUUGAUGUAGUUAUCAAUUUACAUAAGCCCUACAAAUGGCCAUCACUGCAAACCUCUCAGAUCAGCCUAGGAGACCAAGCGUUAGGGUGCUGAUUUAACCCACAAAACAGCAGAGCUUCAGAGACAUGAAUGUAUUGGUUCAGACCUGAUAAGUGGCAGAGAGUAAACGUCUAAUGGAUCUGAUUUUCAAUUUCUAAUAACCACGCUGCAGAAUUGCAAACUCUACAUCACCAAGAGAAGAAGCAAUGAUGUUAAGCCUAUCGGAAUGUUCUGCCUCCUAUCCUCAAGAUGAAUCUGAUCCAGGUCUAAAUGCUCUGGAACCAUCAAGAGCAAUGUGACCAUCGCCAUAAUGAUCCUUGUAAGAAAAUCUGGCAUUUUUCUUGGACUUCUUGGGCACAAAGAUGAAUUAGACAUAGUCAGAACCUCUAAGAACAUAGAGUUUGAAGGAGAAACAGAGGAGACUAAUUCCUGAAGGUCUCUCUCCAAGAAGCAGCACAUGGAGUACACAGGAGGAGAGCCCUAGGGAAGGACUGAGGAGGAGACAACCCUUCCAGCUGGAGACAACCAGAAGAAGAGAAAAGCCAUGAGACCCCAGGACUGUUGGCCUGGAAGGACAGCCUGCAGCAUGAGUGCUUGGGAUGGAGACCGCAUACAAGAUGCAUGGGAUUGACUAAGCAGUCUUCAUGUGCCUGGAAUCACAGAGCUGGAGCCUUACCUCUUCAAUCAAUUCUUUACCAUCAAAUGAGAUCACUCUCCAGCCUGAACAAGACAACAACAACAAAAAAUAAAUAAUAAAUAUGUUGAACCUA